GACGAACGCUGGCGGCGUGCUUAACACAUGCAAGUCGAACGGAAAGGCCCUUUCGGGGGUACUCGAGUGGCGAACGGGUGAGUAACACGUGGGUGAUCUGCCCUGCACUUCGGGAUAAGCUUGGGAAACUGGGUCUAAUACCGGAUAGGACUACGCACUGCAUGGUGUGUGGUGGAAAGCUUUUGCGGUGUGGGAUGGGCCCGCGGCCUAUCAGCUUGUUGGUGGGGUGAUGGCCUACCAAGGCGACGACGGGUAGCCGGCCUGAGAGGGUGUCCGGCCACACUGGGACUGAGAUACGGCCCAGACUCCUACGGGAGGCAGCAGUGGGGAAUAUUGCACAAUGGGCGCAAGCCUGAUGCAGCGACGCCGCGUGGGGGAUGACGGCCUUCGGGUUGUAAACCUCUUUCACCAUCGGCGAAGCCGGGAGCUUUUGUUUCUG
rnacentral:rRNA from 1 species